UGACGUUUUGGUGUUACUGUUGUCAUCACACCGCUAUUCCCUCCAAUCAUAUGGAUAUUCGAUAUUGGAUUGUCUUCCUUCAUACGGUAUCAAGGUGUUCUAGAAAAUUAAAACCCUCCACCGUUUAAUCCAUCAUAUCGCCGAUUUCACGCACCUCUUCACUUUCUAAUAUACGGUUAGGGCUCGAUGGAUUUCAUUCAAGUUUUGAUUUCCUGUUUGCUACCUACUAUUCUUGCGUGUUGAUUCCUGAAUGCAUCCAGCUUUUCUUUGGAGUCGAUGUUACCACUACAUUCAAUUCCUUAUCCCUUUUAUUCUUCUUUUGUAUUUCACUCAAAUUUUUGUAGCAAUUUAAUUUUGUCCACUUUUAUUCUUUUUGAAGUUCUUUGUCUGUAAGUUAUUGAUAUGCUAAAAAUUGAACAAAAACGAAGCUUUCCUUUCGUUAAUUGUUGCUUUGCUUCUGAUUUUAGGGCUAAUAUAGUUAAAUUAUGAGAUUUAAAAAAAACACACCCAUACGUAGAUUAUGAGAUUAAGUCGUUUCUCUAUUAAACAUCAAGUGAUGAUGUCAGAUAGAAUUAAACAUCUUUUAUUGCAUUUCUUUUGUGCUUUGUUAACAUACUUUUGUAAUGAUUUUAUUAGUUUACACGUCACCUUGGUUUUCCAACACACAGAAUUUGAUACAUGGAGAUUCUGGAACUUAUUUUUAAGCUUCGACGAUAACUGUUUAUUAUCUUCUAGGUGUUAAAUUGUUUUAGAAUAAACCAUCAUAACAAAUAAUCACUUUUUUAUUGGUUGGAUGUAAUGGAAUGAAAGUGGAAAUAAAUAAGCAAGAUAAUUAAAUGACUCAUCACGUUUUAUGAACAUAUUUAGUUCUUAGAUUAUUUCUUGACACAAAGAUAUUGACUGUUAAUAAUAAAAGGGUAUUGUAAGUAAUAAGAAGAAAUGAAAGUAUGAUGCUAUGUAAAACAUAUCAACAAAAGUACUUUGCUACUUUUUGAUUAUUUUUGUUUCAUUGUCACAUUUAUGUGUUUAUGAAGGUGUGUAGCUUGAAAAACCCGCUGUCCGAUAUUGAAUUUACAGGUAACCUUGAUAAAGGAAGAGUUUUGAAGGCCGUUUGUUAUUAUUGUGGGUAAAAGAUAAAGUCUAUUGAUUAUAUUGAUAAAAAGAAAAAGUAAGUUUUUAUUUCUUGCAAUUUACCUAUUUUAAAAAGAGCAGACAUUUUUUGAAUUUAUGGUAGAUAAAGGAUGAUGGGGUUUGCAUAAAAAUGAUUAUAUACUUUUGUAUCUAUACAAUUUUUUUUUUUUUUUUUGACUAUUUUGUUAAAUCAUGUGAAUUUUUAACUUUAAAACUUUUUCCUGAUGGCUUUGAUUCUUCCUUGAUUUAAGAACUGUGAUUAGAUAGGGGGACGCCCGGGUUAAUAUUGACAUUGUCGUUUAAAACUUGGAUUAUGUUACUGUGAUUUUUACAUUAAAUUAGGAUAAAAAUGAAAGCAUGUUGUUAUUAUGUAAAAAAAAAAGGAAAAAAAAUCCAACCCGAUACAAACCCGCGUCAAUGUUGUUGGUGGGCUUCCUCUAGUUAAUAUAAACACAAAAACAAAUUGUGAUAACACUUUAAGAUUAAACCGCAAGGAAAAAUGAAACUUCAACAAAAAAAUUAUUGUCAAAAAUUGAUCACUCACAAAAUAUUUUUGAAUUAGAUUUAAAUAAAAAAUCAAUCACUCACAAUUUUUUUGGAAUUAGAUUUAAAAUAUUAAUAACAUUAUAUGUUGUGAAUGAGGAAUUCUUUUUAUUCCAUGGGUCGGUAAAUAAAUAAUAACAGUAUAAUAACAAUAAUCGUAAAAAACAAAUUUAGACACUCAUUAAAAUCCCAUGUUGGUAGGUAAAUGAAAAAAUAGUCAGAGGUGUGUUUAGAAGUGUAUUUUAACGUGCUUUUGAUAAAAACUGGUUAUUGGCUUAUGGUUUUUUUAAAAAAAAUAUGUUUAAAAAGUGUUAUAGGUUAGUUUUUGUGAUGAGAAAAGUAAAAAAAAGUCAAUAAGUUGGUUUUAAAAAGUGUUUUUUUAGCUUUUUAGAAGUAAAAAUGGUAAAAAGAAAGUUAACAAACUAUAAAUCAUCAAAAAAUUAGGAUUUUGUGGUUUUUUGAAAUUCUCUUAUUUUGCAUAUCAAAAAAAGUUGUUUGAACAACAUUUGGAACAACCCAAAUCCCAAACACAAACUCAAUAUAGGCCAUUCAAAUUUGGAGAGAGACAAAUGACGUGCAAAUCUUCACGACCUAAUUUCAACUCCAUGAAAUAAAACAUUUUUCUCUUGUUUAGGACAUCCUAGCCGCUGACUGCUUUGAACGACGCUGGUAACUUUGGUCCGACGGAGCAACAACGAAGGUCGUCUUUCCCUUUUUUGCUCUCUCUUUAUGUUCUCAAUCUGGAUGGUGGUUACCGGCCGAAAGUAGGUCGUCGGCGGUAGGCCUCCGACUGUGAUGAUGUUAGGUUUCAUAAUUUUUUUAAACUUUAUUUUUGCUUUGAUUUUUUUAACACAAGCUUCAACUAUUUAUUUAUUUUAUUUUUUUAGAUUUUAUAUAAAAAAGUUGUAUUAAA